rnacentral:rRNA from 1 species
UGUAGUCAUAUGCUUGUCUCAAAGAUUAAGCCAUGCAUGUCUAAGUAUAAGCAAUUAUACCGCGAAACUGCGAAUGGCUCAUUAUAUAAGUUAUCGUUUAUUUGAUAGCACUUUACUACUUGGAUAACCGUGGUAAUUCUAGAGCUAAUACAUGCUAAAAACCCCGACUUCGGAAGGGGUGUAUUUAUUAGAUUAAAAGCCAACGCCCUUCGGGGCUCUCUGGUGAUUCAUAAUAACUUUUCGAAUCGCAUGGCCUUGCGCCGGCGAUGGUUCAUUCAAAUUUCUUCCCUAUCAACUUUCGAUGCGAGGGUAUUGUCCUCGCAUGGUUGCAACGGGUAACGGAGGGUUAGGGCUCGACCCCGGAGAAGGAGCCUGAGAAACGGCUACUACAUCCAAGGAAGGCAGCAGGCGCGCAAAUUACCCAAUCCCGACACGGGGAGGUAGUGACAAUAAAUACUGAUACAGGGCUCUUUAGGGUCUUGUAAUCGGAAUGAGUACAAUUUAAAUCCCUUAACGAGGAACAAUUGGAGGGCAAGUCUGGUGCCAGCAGCCGCGGUAAUUCCAGCUCCAAUAGCGUAUAUUAAAGUUGUUGUGGUUAAAAAGCUCGUAGUCGAACCUUGGGCCUGGCCGGCCGGUCCCCCUCACCGGGUGCACUGAUCCGGCCGGGCCUUUCCCUCUGCGGAACCCCAUGGCCUUCACUGGCUGUGCGGGGGAAGCAGGACUUUUACUGUGAAAAAAUUAGAGUGCUCCAGGCAGGCCUAUGCUCGAAUACAUUAGCAUGGAAUAAUAGAAUAGGACGUGUGGUUCUAUUUUGUUGGUUUCUAGGACCGCCGUAAUGAUUAAUAGGGACAGUCGGGGGCAUCAGUAUUCAAUUGUCAGAGGUGAAAUUCUUGGAUCUAUUGAAGACUAACUACUGCGAAAGCAUUUGCCAAGGAUGUUUUCAUUGAUAAGGAACGAAAGUUAGGGGAUCGAAGACGAUCAGAUACCGUCGUAGUCUUAACUAUAAACUAUGCCGACUAGGGAUCGGACGAUGUUAUUUCUUGACGCGUUCGGCACCUUUCGAGAAAUCAAAGUGCUUGGGCUCCAGGGGGAGUAUGGUCGCAAGGCUGAAACUUAAAGGAAUUGACGGA